rnacentral:rRNA from 1 species
GCGAACGCUGGCGGCAGGCCUAACACAUGCAGGUCGAACGAACUCUUCGGAGUUAGUGGCGGACGGGUGAGUAACACGUGGGAACGUGCCUUUAGGUUCGGAAUAACUCAGGGAAACUUGUGCUAAUACCGAAUGUGCCCUUCGGGGGAAAGAUUUAUCGCCUUUAGAGCGGCCCGCGUCUGAUUAGCUAGUUGGUGAGGUAAAGGCUCACCAAGGCGACGAUCAGUAGCUGGUCUGAGAGGAUGAUCAGCCACAUUGGGACUGAGACACGGCCCAAACUCCUACGGGAGGCAGCAGUGGGGAAUCUUGCGCAAUGGGCGAAAGCCUGACGCAGCCAUGCCGCGUGAAUGAUGAAGGUCUUAGGAUUGUAAAAUUCUUUCACCGGGGACGAUAAUGACGGUACCCGGAGAAGAAGCCCCGGCUAACUUCGU